rnacentral:siRNA from 1 species
GGGCUUGGAGGAGGAGUUGG